AUUGAACGCUGGCGGCAUGCCUUACACAUGCAAGUCGAACGGCAGCACGGGGCAACCUGGUGGCGAGUGGCGAACGGGUGAGUAAUGCAUCGGAAGGUACCUUUCAGUGGGGGAUAACGUAGCGAAAGUUACGCUAAUACCGCAUAUUCUGUGAGCAGGAAAGCAGGGGAUCGCAAGACCUUGCGCUGAUUGAGCGGCCGAUGUCAGAUUAGCUAGUUGGUGAGGUAAAGGCUCACCAAGGCGACGAUCUGUAGCGGGUCUGAGAGGAUGAUCCGCCACACUGGAACUGGGACACGGUCCAGACUCCUACGGGAGGCAGCAGUGGGGAAUUUUGGACAAUGGGGGCAACCCUGAUCCAGCCGUGCCGCGUGAGUGAAGAAGGCCUUCGGGUCGUAAAGCUCUUUCGGCCGGGAAGAAAUCGCACGGGCUAAUACCCUGUGUGGAUGACGGUACCGGAAUAAGAAGCACCGGCUAACUACGUGCCAGCCGCCGCAGUAAGAC
rnacentral:rRNA from 1 species